rnacentral:lncRNA from 1 species
GUAGAGGAAGAGCUACAUAUAUUCACUUCAUCGUUGCUAAGCUUAUUAGCUGAAUUCAGUAUUCGACCCCCGAAUGAUAAAUGCUUCCACAAUUGGUAGUGGUGCUAAGCGUUUAUACCAUCAUAUGCACUGGAAGAUAAGAUCUGCGAAUGCUGGUUUUGAUGAUAUAAACCAUCUGGUAGGAAAUCAACCUAGUAAUCUGACAGCCAGUUAUGGUCAUCAGCCCUCAAGUUCUUCAAAAAGUCAACUUUCUCAACCAUUCAUGGGAUCAAAAGUGAACGAUUUUCCUCAAUACAAUUACUAUCCAAUGGAUAUGCACGUCGAAGCAAGAUCUAACCAGUCAAGAUUUAUUCGAGACUAUGACAUGCCAUUAUCCAAUAAUGACAAGCCAAGGGAGGUUGGAGGUACUUCUGCUCCUAAUUUUUUUGAAGAUAAUACUGGUGAGUCAUACAGGAAAUUGAUGACUGAUUCCCAAUUUUAUAUGCCUCCCCCACAUGACAAUCAAGCAUCCUCUGUUUCAGAAGGUGAGGCGUCUCUACCUGGUAUAGAAGGAUUUCAAAUUAUUGGUGAGGCAAAACCAGGAAACACAUUAAGAGCAUGUGGUUAUCCAACAAAUGGUACAACUCUUUGUAUCUUUCAGUGGGUUCGUCAUCUUCAAGAUGGUACUAGGCAGUAUAUUGAAGGAGCCACUGUCCCGGAAUAUGUGGUAACUGCUGAUGAUGUUGACACACUUCUUGCUGUAGACUGCACACCCAUGGAUGACAAUGGUCGUCNNNNNNNNNNNNNNNNNNNNUACUUACUAUAAUGGUACAAUAAUGUUAUAGAUUAUUAUAUUAUGAUAAUAUCAUAAUAAUUAUUAUAACACAUUGUGAUAUAAAAUAUGAUAGUAGAAUAUUAUAAUACAAUACAAUGUUAUGUAAUAUUAGAAUUAUUUUAAUAUUAAUUUUUUAACUAAAAUACUGAUUUUAUAAUUGUAUACAGAAUAUUGAAUACUUACUAUAAUGGUACAAUAAUGUUAUAGAUUAUUAUAUUAUGAUAAUAUCAUAAUAAUUAUUAUAACACAUUGUAAUACAUUAAUAUCAUGUAUAUUAUAUAUUAUCAUACAAGACAAUAAUAUUAUAUUUUUGUUAUAAUAGCAAAAAAUGAUAAUAUUUUAUCUUAGUAACAAUAUAUAUAUAUAUUAUACUAUUAUCAUAAUUAUAAUAUUGAUUGCCAUGUUAUAAUAUUUACAUAAUAUAAUUAUAAUGUAUAUCUAAAUUCAGAGAUACAAUUUAAAGGGGUGAAAUGGGCAUGAAAAGUGGGCAUAAUUCUAUUCCAAGGACCCGUUUGAGAGAGCUUUUGGAGGGCCAAAAAGCACUUUUUGGCCCUCCAAAAGCACUUUGGUAAAAAAGAGUAUUUGGUAAAAAUUUCAGAAAGCUGUUUUAGCUUUUUUCAGAAACUAAAAAUAGCUUUUUAGGAGAAGUUCCAUUUUGGAGCUUUUUAAAAAAGCACUUUUAGGCUCCGUCGGAAAGCUAUUUUUUUAAUCAAAAUACCCGUGAUAAAAUAUAACAAUCACACAAAAUAUCUCUUUAUAAUUCUGAAAAAUUAAUUGCACUAAUAAUUAUAAUAUUUUAUAUCUUUAUUAUUGUAUUAUACUAUAAAUAUAAUAUUAUAUUACGUUAUAUCAUAAUGCAUUAAUAUGUUAUGUUAAAUAAUUUAAUAUUAUAUUAUAUUAUGAAAAAUUAAUUUAUGCUAAUAAUUAUAAUAUUUUAUAUCUUUAUUAUUAUAUUAUACUAUAAAUAUAAUAUAAUAUUACAUUAUAUCACAUUAUAUCAUAAUACUAUGUUAUGUUAUAUCAAAUAAUUUAAUAUUAUAUUAAAUUAUUAUGCUAUAGUAUGCAAUGUUAUAGUACUAUAUUAUAAUAAUAUUAUAUUACAUUGCAGUAAUGUUAUACUAUAUCAUAUAUUUAUGUAUUAAUACAUAUUAUAUUUUAUUAUACUCUGUUGUAUGAUACUAUGUAAUGUCCGUUACGGUCAUUUUGUCAUACCAAAAGUACUUUCUCAGUUUGUUUACCAAACACAUGUUAAAGUGCCACAACACUUUAAAAAUAUAGUUACCAAACAAUAUACAACUUUUUAUAAAAGCUCUACUUCAGAUAGCUCUGCUUCCAAUAGCUCUACUUCCAAAAGCUCUACUGCCAACAACUCUUCCAAAUAGGGCCCAAGAUGAACUUGGAAUAGCCUACGCCUAAAAAUGGCAUAAGGUGGUUUUACUGGGCAUAUGGCCUAUUUCAAGUCUAUUCCCAUUUCGCAAAUACUAUUGGAGUUCCAAGUCCUGUGCCCCUGCCAAACACUACCUUGCUUUUAACCUUCUCAAUUCAUUAGCUGAGACACUUCAUGCAGUGAUAUUGGUUGCUUGUCCUGCACCCUAUUUCUCAUGGUUCAUACACAUUGGUAUGGAUUCACAAGAUCAUGUAUUUAGAACUCCUUAGCGCAUUAACGCACUAGUUUGAAAUCUGUGGUUUCAAGAAAACAACACUUUUUGUACCAGAUAAUGCAAAUUUUGCCUAUUAAAUGAAAAAAGAUUUAGAAACCAUUGAUUUGUCUCGGAAUUAUUAAAUGAUUUUAGUGGACAACUCUUGAACAAAGGAAGCAAAAAACAUUGUGCUUUCAAAUUCAGAAUAGUUCAGAUUUAGGACCUGAACUCAUGCUCUUUCUACAAAGCUUACAAAGUUGCUGAAUCAAAUACCAUAUGAUUGAUAUCUAUGCUUUAUUUUUUUACGAAAAAAUGUGUAACCUUGUUAUUUUGCUUGCAUUUUUUGUUAUUUUUAUCCAAAAUUCAUUUAUUGGAUCACAAGAUUCUUUUUAUAGUUUUGUAUAUUCUUUUAUAAUGGCUAAUUUGUUUAGGUUGUAGAGGAAGAGCUACAUAUAUUCACUUCAUCGUUGCUAAGCUUAUUAGCUGAAUUCAAUAUUCGACCCCCGAUGAUAAAUGCUUCCACAAUUGGUAGUGGUGCUAAGGUAACAAUCAUUUGGCUGCUAAUCUUCUAUAUUCAUCUCUCUCUCUCUCUCCUCCCUCUCCCCAUGGUCAUCAUGAGGGCAUGCCCUUAUUUGUUAAAAUAUGGUGCUUUCUUUGGUCCUUGCUAUACACAAGUAAAGCUGCCUAAGCUUGUUGUUGCUGCUCCUACUGGAAAAUUAUGCUUUGUAUUCACUUCCAUUUUUUUAAAUUUACAAUUAGCUGUGUUGCCCAAGGAGACAACCCAAUAGGGGGGUGAAUUGGGUUUUGAUUAAAUAUUGACCAAUUAAAAAUUAGGUGAGUGAUUAACUAAAUUUAUUGCAAGUGGAUUAGUUAGAUCACUAGAUGCAAUGAGUGAAGAGAGAGAAAGAGACAAAGACCAAUACAAACACAGAGAGGUUUAUAGUGGUUCGGAGCCAACACUUGCUCCUACGUCCACUCCCCAAGCCGCACUUGGGAGUUCACUGUAACCCUAGGAUUACAGCCGGUUGUUUUGCAAGCUCACAACCAAACUUGUUGUUUUCACGAGAUCACAACGAAGUCGGUCGGUUUUGACAGACUCACCGACUAGAACCAAACAAUUGUUUUUCCGGGGUGACAAUCAAACCCAGUUGAUUUUUCCGGUACACCAACCACAAUCUUACACCGUUGGUUUUAUCUUUGGCUGACCAACAAACCUUACAACCCUUGAUUCAAUCCUCUGAUUGAAUCAAGUACAAAAAGCAAGAGUUUGAAGUUCACAAGCAGAGCUUCUGAAAAGCAAAUAUGAAACAAUAUAAACAAGAUUGAGUUAGAAGCCCUCAAACAGAUUUGAGAUGAGAAAGUGGGGCUUCUCGAUUUCUGAAUUUCUUCUUGAAUGAGUCGGAGGAUGGGGAACAGUUGGUAGAGCUUUGAAUGCGAAGGAAGCCUUUUUGGUUUGAGUUGAAUGCACACUCCCUUCUUUUGCUUGGAUUCGCUCUUGAGAUGCUUUUGGUAGUUGAAAAUCUUUAAUGCUCAAAUGGAAUAACUCUCUUCUAUUCUACUACUGUUCACUUUGGCUAUUUAAGUGAUCCCCUUUGAAAAAUACCCGUUAGAGACUGAUUUGGAGCCGUUCUGACCCAUCUGCACAAUCUGACAAUGUAUCCGUUGGGAUCGGAGUCGACUCGCGCGAUCUGGAGUCGACUCGGCUGUUACUGGAGUCGACUCGUGCUAUACUGGAGACGACUCGACCACUGUUCCAAAUUUGAAUUAAAGUGCAUGCCUUGUCCUGAAGUCGACUCGGACCAAACUGGAGUCGACUCGCCAACAGCUGGAGACGACUCGGGCACUUAGGAGUCGGCUCGUUCUCAGGAAUCCAGAUAGCCCAUUUUCUGAUUUUCUUCCUCGAGUCGACUCGGGUUAACUUGGAGUCGACUCGGCUGACUUGAGAGGCGACUCGAGAUCUUCGGAAGACGUCUCGCUCUCAGAGACCGAAAAAUUGAUUCUCUGUCUUUUUGAACUGAUCUGCCUCGGAGUCGACUCGGGCCUCGCUGGAGUCGACUCGACUAAUCUUGGGAGUCGACUCUGGAUCCAGUGGAUACAACUCGAUAUCAGGUCCUCAAAAAUCAACUCUGCUGUUUUCACUGUCUUCUUCCGGGAGUCGACUCGGGACCAUCUGGAGUCGACUCGCCAAGCACCGGAGUCGACUCGCAACCUUUUGGAAUUGACUCGCUCUCAGGGUCGAAAAUCCAACGUUUUGUUUUCUGUCUGUUCUCAGUGGAGUCGACUCGGGACUAUCUGGAGUCAACUCGCCAAGCACCGGAGUCGACUCGCUCUCAGGGUUGAAAAAACGGUCUUUUGUCUUUCUAUCGGAGUCGACUCACUCUCAGUCGGAGUCGACUCGAGUGCGUGCCGGUUCCAGAUUUUGUGCCGGAGUCGACUUGGGAAAUCCAGGAGUCGACUCGAGUGCAGGGCACAUACAAGAAUGAUUCAAAUGAAGUCUGAACUUUAUCCAAAUGCUUUAAACUAUGUUUUACCCUGAAACACUCAAUUGAAUUCAUUGGAAUAACAAAAAGUAUGCUCAAGUGUUUUGGAUUCAUCAAAAUCAAUUAGAGAAACAAAUCAAUCACUCCACAAGCUGGAUCAUGUUUUAUGUAAUAUUAAUAUGCAGUCACCAUAUGAAAUGUUUUUAUGGAAAUUACACAAUACUGUGAUACAGUCAACCUGUACUCUUGAGAUAAAUGAUUUGUUUUCCCAUUUGAAAUGACCUUUUUCUGUUACUCUUUUUACAUUUCUAUCCAUUGUCUCAACUAGUCGCCUUCCUGCAUAGCUGUGUUUUGCUAGUUCAAUCCUUAAAUAGGACUGCUGAUUGCAUGCAUUGUGUCUAAUUAUGAUAGAGUUUAUUUUGUAAGGUAAAGUUAUCUAUUGUUGCUGUCUCCUUUAAAAUAUAAGUACCCAUUUAAUCUUUAUUACUUUCUUCCAUAAUUUGGUGUAGCUUUAUCUUUCACAUUUCAAAUAACUAUGACUUGUAAAAUUUUUGAUCCAAUUGUUUGUAAGACUAAAUUUUGUUUUAAUAAUUCUUGGAUUCAGUCUUUUGUAUCAUGAGUACAAUAAUUGAUGAUGAUUGUUGCACUUAGAUAUUUGACAUCUUUUUUGGUUGGUGUUUACAGCGUUUAUACCAUCAUAUGCACUGGAAGAUAAGAUCUGCGAAUGUAAGUCAGCCAUCUUGUGAUCUCCUCAAAGUCAUUCUUAAACAAGAUCACAGUUGUGAAAUAAAUAUGGAGUGUCUACAUCAUACCAGGAAAUUGAUUAUGAUGGGUUUAUUUAUAAUUGUGCCUUCAGAGAUCUGUAGCUUGUACCUUACUAUUUAAGCUGCUUUUAUUCAAAUGCAGUUUGGUCUACGGUUCCAUGUAGUUAACUAUAAUCUUUCCUGGUGGGUUUCCUUUUCUGUUAUUGAGUAAUUGGACAUUCUUGAAUAGUUUUACAUACACAUCGUGAUGUGUCAAGUUGCUAAGAGUAUCUGAGUGGGCGAGAAGGAUAUAUAUAGUGUCUUUAUUCACACCAAGCUAAAACUUGUCUCCAGAAUACCCACAAGAAAGUAUCUGUAUGUCUGUGUUACGUCUAUAUAUAUGUACUUGCAUGAAUAUAUGGACAUAUGCACAUACUUGAGGGAUUCUAGAUGCCUGUGUUAUAUAUAGUGCAUUUUGUGUAUUUGUCUUCAUAUCGUGUUAUAUUACUUGUGUGGUCCUCUCACCAAGCUGAAAAUGAUCUAUUGGAUACCAUGAAGAAAGUAUGUGAUACGUCUUUUUUAUGUAUAUAUGUAUGCAUUUGCAUGAGUACGAGGUUCUCUUCAGAUUGGUGAUAAUACCCCACAAAGUACUAACAUACUAUACAAAGACCAUACAUCGAAAUGCACUAUACACUAAAUAUUGGCUAUUAAAAAUCAAAGAAUAAUUCCAGACACCAUAGCAGGUUGCCAAGGUCCAUGACAUGAUAGAGGAGCGCUGAAAUUUCACAGCAACAGCCAGAGUUCUCUGAAUAUACGUCACGUAUGCUAAAAUGGAUUUACACUAUACUGAUGGUAAAAUUUGAAAAACACAGGCAAAAAUCAAUGAAUUGCUUAUUCCCUUUGUGAAAAUGUAAGGUGUAUUAUGAAAUUAAUAGUAUGCACCAUGGUCUGCCGUAUCGGUCGGUACGGGCCGGUACCGGAUCCUACCGGUACGGUAUAGCUACAUAUUUCGGUACCGAACUGUACCGGUCCGUACCGAUGCGUACCGGCCCGUACCGACCGGCACAGGCCCGAACCGACCAGUCCGUACCGGCUUCUAUUUUUUUUUGGCUUUUAGCCCCAUCAGUACAGUACCGGUUUGGCUCGGUUUGGUUCGGUACCGUAUCGGUACCGAUGCCCACCGGUACGUCGGUACAGUCGGUACCGCGUACUUUGGUCUGCACCUUGCUUUUCAAUAGCAUAUUUAAAAUUUGAAUUUGGAGAAUCCUAAUAUAAUGACAAGCUGAAACAUUGUCAUCAAGUAAGAUGGUCUUAAAGUAUAAUUUAUGUUAGAAAUAUAAGAAUAUAUGUUAUGGAUAUGCAAGGUCCAUUGCAUUUCUUUGUAUGUUGGUUUGCUGCUACUUUUAUUGCAAAUUGUUAAAUCAUUGACUAGUUACUCUAGUAUUGUAAUUGAUAGUGAUUAGAAUUUUCAAUCAAUUGAAUCAACUGCCAUUUUUCAUGCAGGCUGGUUUUGAUGAUAUAAACCAUCUGGUAGGAAAUCAACCUAGUAAUCUGACAGCCAGUUAUGGUCAUCAGCCCUCAAGUUCUUCAAAAAGUCAACUUUCUCAACCAUUCAUGGUAUUGUCUUCAUGG